CCUACGGGUGGCAGCAGUGGGGAAUAUUGCACAAUGGGCGCAAGCCUGAUGCAGCCAUGCCGCGUGUGUGAAGAAGGCCUUCGGGUUGUAAAGCACUUUCAGCGGGGAGGAAGGCGUUAAGGUUAAUAACCUUGUCGAUUGACGUUACCCGCAGAAGAAGCACCGGCUAGCUCCGUGCCAGCAGCCGCGGUAAUACGGAGGGUGCAAGCGUUAAUCGGAAUUACUGGGCGUAAAGCGCACGCAGGCGGUCUGUCAAGUCGGAUGUGAAAUCCCCGGGCUCAACCUGGGAACUGCAUUCGAAGCUGGCAGGCUAGAGUCUUGUAGAGGGGGGUAGAAUUCCAAGUGUAGCGGUGAAAUGCGUAGAGAUCUGGAGGAAUACCGGUGGCGAGGGCGGCCCCCUGGACAAAGACUGACGCUCAGGUGCGAAAGCGUGGGGAGCAAACAGGAUUAGAUACCCGAGUAGUC
rnacentral:rRNA from 1 species